GCUACGAUGGCCGAGUGGUUAAGGCGUUGGACUUGAAAUCCAAUGGGAUCUUCCCGCGUAGGUUCGAACCCUACUCGCAGCG
rnacentral:tRNA from 1 species